AAGCGCUUGCCACCAGACCUGCCCGCAGGCGAUCAGCCGCUGUUCUCAGCGGUGCACUCGCUCUGCGACCAGGCCAGCAUCGGUUCGGGCGGCCGGAGAAAGGCCCUGGGAAUGUAGCUCCCCCCCGGGGAGCCUUAUAGCCCUCGGCGCCAUGCGGCCAGCCGGGACCGAGGACCGCGCUUCGGCUAGGAUGCUGGCGUAAUGGUGGCAAGCGACCCGUCUUGAAACACGGACCAAGGAGUCUAACGUCUACGCGAGUGUUUGGGUGUCAAACCCAUGCGCGGAAUGAAAGUGAACGGAGGUGAGAACCCGUGAGGGGCGCAUCAUCGACCGAUCCAGAUGUCUUCGGAUGGAUUUGAGUAUGAGCGUAGCCGUUGGGACCCGAAAGACAGUGAACUAUGCCUGAAUAGGGUGAAGCCAGAGGAAACUCUGGUGGAGGCUCGCAGCGGUUCUGACGUGCAAAUCGAUCGUCAAAUUUGGGUAUAGGGGCGAAAGACUAAUCGAACUGUCUAGUAGCUGGUUCCUGCCGAAGUUUCCCUCAGGAUAGCAGUAACGUUUUCAGUUU
rnacentral:rRNA from 1 species